rnacentral:tRNA from 1 species
GCGGGAGUGGGCGAAAUUGGUAGACGCAACAGAUUUAGGUUCUGGCGCCGCAAGUGUGCGAGUUCAAGUCUCGCCUCCCGCACCA